rnacentral:rRNA from 1 species
UACGUAGGGUGCGAGCGUUGUCCGGAGUUAUUGGGCGUAAAGAGCUCGUAGGCGGUUUGUUGCGUCGGCUGUGAAAACUUCACGCUUAACGUGGAGCCUGCAGUCGAUACGGGCAGACUUGAGUUCGGCAGGGGAGACUGGAAUUCCUGGUGUAGCGGUGAAAUGCGCAGAUAUCAGGAGGAACACCGGUGGCGAAGGCGGGUCUCUGGGCCGAUACUGACGCUGAGGAGCGAAAGCGUGGGGAGCGAACAGGAUUAG